rnacentral:rRNA from 1 species
UACGUAGGGAGCGAGCGUUGUCCGGAAUUACUGGGUGUAAAGGGAGCGUAGGCGGGGAUGCAAGUUGGGUGUCAAAACUACCGGCUCAACUGGUAGUCGCACUCAAAACUGCAGCUCUUGAGUGAAGUAGAGGCAGGCGGAAUUCCUAGUGUAGCGGUGAAAUGCGUAGAUAUUAGGAGGAACACCAGUGGCGAAGGCGGCCUGCUGGGCUUUUACUGACGCUGAGGCUCGAGAGUGUGGGGAGCAAACAGG